rnacentral:misc_RNA from 1 species
GGGAGAAGUCGUAACAAGGUAGCCGUAGGGGAACUUGCGGCUGGAUCCACCUCCUUUNUAGAGAAGCAUUUNGGCACCCACAACCUAUCGGUUGUUCAUGAGUAGCAAACAGACGAGGGUCUGUAGCUCAGUCGGUUAGAGCCCCGUCUUGAUAAGGCGGGGGUCGUUGGUUCGAUUCCAACCAGACCCACCAACGUCAAAAUCAAGGGGGAUUAGCUCAGCUGGGAGAGCACCUGCUUUGCAAGCAGGGGGUCAACGGUUCGAUCCCGUUAUCCUCCACCAAAACCCAAAGAUAAGCAGUGGUGUUUAUCUUUGGCUUUUGAGCAAUCAAUUGCUACGUUCUUUAACAAAAUGGAAGAAGGUUGUGUUGCAGCGCUGAUGAGGCGUUGGCAACACGUUGUGAUUGCAUCUGUUCCUUGUCCUUUAGCCAGGACGAGACAGCACAAAUAUGAGUUGCCUGUAGCCACUCUCGAAAGAGAGUACAAGGUUAUAGGAUCAAGCGAAUAAGUGCAUGUGGUGGAUGCCUUGGCGAUCCACAGGCGAUGAAGGACGUGCUAA